GGGUCAGUAGGUUGGUCGUGCCACAGGUACGUACUGGUCUCACUGAUUCCUCCUUCCUGAAGAACCGUAAUGCCAUUAAUUUGGUGUUGCGGGGAAACAGGACUGUUACUUUGAAAAAAUUAGAGUGUUUAAAGCAUGCUAACGCUUGAAUACAUUAGCAUGGAAUAAUGAAAUAGGACGAUCGAUCCUAUUUUGUUGGUUUCUAGGAUUGACGUA
rnacentral:rRNA from 1 species